AGAACUCUCAAGUUCAAGACCCACCAAUCUUACUUGAUAUGUAAUCUUAGACAAGUCAUAUAAUCUCUCUGGGUCUCAAUUUUCAACACUGGGGAGAAAAAAAGAUUAAGAUACCUAUAUUACAGGGUUUCUGAAAUACAGCUACAAACGUCUCUGAAUUCCAUCUUCACAAUGCAAGAGAAAAGGGAAAAUCUAAACUGCUUUCGAAGUACCGUAAGGAAGAUCGCUAAUUGGCCUAGUGUGUGUCACCAGCCCAUGCUCUGAACCAGUCUCAGGCCAGGAGGGGCAUAGCAAUAUCACUGACUGGCCCCCAGCUUGGUUCUCUGCUCCCUGGAGUCUCUGGAAAAAGCAGCUGCACCCAGCUUCCUCCCCGCAAAUCAGACAGCUCAUCUCUCUGCCAUUUCCUCAGGAAGGCCUGAGGAGGUACCAAGCCAGACCAGGUUUGCAAACAGCUGCUUGAGAAUCUCCAAACACACACCCCUUGGAACAGACUCAUCAUCUGAUGGCAUCUGCGAACUGCAGCUCAAGCCAAGGUCCCACGCUCUGGUUUUUUUGCACCUGCUUGGUGGGUUUCUCACCUGUGUGUGUGUGUGUGUGUGUGUGUGUGUGUGUGUGGACACGCACACGUGCAUGUGUGUGUGUGGGCGGUGUGUUUGGUAAGUAAGUCCUUGCGUGCACCUAGCUCGGUCCCUGGGCUCCACUGAUAAUGUAUCUCACACAUACCUGAUGUGCAAUUAUUUGUCAAAUGUUAUCAAUGUUGCGAAGAAU